AUUGAAAAAAUUUAUCUAUUUUUACGGUUAAAUACUGGUGUGGCUAGCAGAAUAAUCAAAGAGUUACACGUGACGUGUCACAUGUACCUUUUUUUGACAUAUAGAGACUAAUUUUUAAUGGUAAUUGAUAGAAUUUUUAAGA
rfam:Gossypium arboreum cultivar AKA8401 contig_48065_3, whole genome shotgun sequence.